AUUGAACGCUGGCGGCAGGCCUAACACAUGCAAGUCGAACGAGUGGCGGACGGGUGAGUAAUGUAUGGGAAACUGCCCGAUGGAGGGGGAUAACUACUGGAAACGGUAGCUAAUACCGCAUACCAGCGGAUGAGCCCAGAGGGGAUUAGCUAGUAGGUGGGGUACCGGCUCACCGAGGCGACGAUCCCUAGCUGGUCUGAGAGGAUGAACAGCCACACUGGAACUGAGACACGGUCCAGACUCCUACGGGAGGCAGCAGUGGGGAAUAUUGCACAAUGGGCGCAAGCCUGAUGCAGCCAUGCCGCGUGUAUGAAGAAGGCCUUCGGGUUGUAAAGUACUUUCAGCGAGGAGGCGUUACUCGCAGAAGAAGCACCGGCUAACUCCGUGCCAGCCGCCGCGGUAAUUC
rnacentral:rRNA from 1 species